rnacentral:rRNA from 1 species
UUAGUGGAAGCGUCUGGAAAGGCGCGCGAUACAGGGUGACAGCCCCGUACACAAAAAUGCACAUGCUGUGAGCUCGAUGAGUAGGGCGGGACACGUGGUAUCCUGUCUGAAUAUGGGGGGACCAUCCUCCAAGGCUAAAUACUCCUGACUGACCGAUAGUGAACCAGUACCGUGAGGGAAAGGCGAAAAGAACCCCGGCGAGGGGAGUGAAAAAGAACCUGAAACCGUGUACGUACAAGCAGUGGGAGCACGCUUAGGCGUGUGACUGCGUACCUUUUGUAUAAUGGGUCAGCGACUUAUAUUCUGUAGCAAGGUUAACCGAAUAGGGGAGCCGAAGGGAAACCGAGUCUUAACUGGGCGUUAAGUUGCAGGGUAUAGACCCGAAACCCGGUGAUCUAGCCAUGGGCAGGUUGAAGGUUGGGUAACACUAACUGGAGGACCGAACCGACUAAUGUUGAAAAAUUAGCGGAUGAC